rnacentral:lncRNA from 1 species
GUGAAUUAUGGGUGUCCGGGGGACCGGGCACCGGGGCGAGUCGGGCUGCAGGAUGGGGCUCCCCCGCUCCGGGUCCCGCCCCACCAGCGUUGCCACUGCGGGGCUCUAAUGCAACCCCGGGGGCGGUCGAUGCCAAGGGGAGUGCUUUAUUUUUACAUGAUGACCUUGGGUGUGGGAAAAGGAAAAGAUGGCGGGAAGCUGGGGGGUGGGACAGGGAAGAUGACACGCCACAGCUGCAUUUUUAUUUGGAAACUUUAGAGAAAGUAUUCCUGGCUGGACCUGCAUUCUGCGUUACACAUGGACAAGACUAGCCUUUUCGAUAUCUCCUACCCCUUUAGAUACUGAAGGAUUUGAACUACUAGUACAAGGGAUACCUGCUCACUUUCCAGAUUACCAGUGUUUUAAAAGCCAUAAUGCCUUGUCCGGUAGUGACAUUUCAAAUGUUCCCUAUUUAGUUUUUUUUCCCCUUUGAUGUUGUUCAGUAGCGAGAUGACAAUAUUUUGUAAACGUAUAGCCAGCCAGCUUUAAAUCAUUUUCUUCAAGCUUAUGUUAUAUACUCCCUACAAAUGUUUCCUCUCUGUGCUCUUCCCACUUUGUGUUGUAGUUUAUAAAACGUAGUGCUUCAGUAAUGUAGCACUGAGCACCCCACUUACGUUAGCUCCAUUUGGAGAACUUGAUCGCUCUGGAGAAGUAACUCGCAAACCAGCGCGCUUCAUGCUGGUCAAAAGUUAAAUGACAAGCGACAGUGAAGCUGCUUUCCUUCCUACUCUGCCUUCUUGCCAGUGAUGUCAGGUGUUGGGUGAAGGGGGC